rnacentral:rRNA from 1 species
AUUGAACGCUGGCGGCAUGCUUUACACAUGCAAGUCGAACGGUAACAGGCCGCAAGGUGCUGACGAGUGGCGAACGGGUGAGUAAUGCAUCGGAACGUGCCCAGUCGUGGGGGAUAACGCAGCGAAAGCUGUGCUAAUACCGCAUACGAUCUAUGGAUGAAAGCGGGGGACCGUAAGGCCUCGCGCGAUUGGAGCGGCCGAUGUCAGAUUAGGUAGUUGGUGGGGUAAAGGCCUACCAAGCCAACGAUCUGUAGCUGGUCUGAGAGGACGACCAGCCACACUGGGACUGAGACACGGCCCAGACUCCUACGGGAGGCAGCAGUGGGGAAUUUUGGACAAUGGGCGCAAGCCUGAUCCAGCAAUGCCGCGUGCAGGAAGAAGGCCUUCGGGUUGUAAACUGCUUUUGUACGGAACGAAACGGUCUGGGUUAAUACCCUGGGCUAAUGACGGUACCGUAAGAAUAAGCACCGGCUAACUACGUGCCAGCAGCCGCCGCGGUAA